rnacentral:tRNA from 1 species
AGCGGGGUAGAGCAGUAGUAGCUCGCCAGGCUCAUAACCUGGAGGUCGUAGGUGCAAAUCCUGCCCCCGCAACCA